rnacentral:rRNA from 1 species
AUUGAACGCUGGCGGCAGGCCUAACACAUGCAAGUCGAGCGAGCGGCGGACGGGUUAGUAAUGUAUGUGGAUCUGCGCGAUAGAGGGGGAUAACUACUGGAAACGGUGGCUACUACCGUAUACUUUCGGAUGAACCCGUAUGGGAUUAGCUAGUAGGUGGGGUAAAGGCUCACCUAGGCGACGAUCUCUAGCUGGUCUGAGAGGAUGAUCAGCCACACUGGAACUGAGACACGGUCCAGACUCCUACGGUAGGCAGCAGUGGGGAAUAUUGCACAAUGGGCGCAAGCCUGAUGCAGCCAUGCCGCGUGUAUGAAGAAGGCCUUCGGAUUGUAAAGUACUUUCAGCGGGGAGGCGUUACCCGCAGAAGAAGCACCGGCUAACUCCGUGCCAGCAGCCGCGGUAAUUC